GUCGGGUGUCGUGGUGGGCACCUGUAGUCCCAGCUACUCAGGAGGCUGAGGCAGGAGAAUCACUUGGACCCGGGAAGCAGAGGUUGCAGUGAGCUGAGAUCAUGCCACUGCACUCCAGCCUGGGUGACAGAGUGAGAUUCUGUCUCAA
rnacentral:sRNA from 1 species